AACGCACAUUGCGCCUUUUGGUAUUCCGAAAGGCAUGCCUGUUUGAGUGUCAUAAGACCUCUCAUACCUAGUUUUCUAUGUAUGAGCUUUGGACGCUGCCAUCCGUGGCUCGUCUUAAAUGUCUAAGUGGAAUGCGUAAUAAGUUUUCGCUCCCUCCACUCUAAUAACUUUUAUGCUUGACCUCAAAUCAGGUAGGACUACCCGCUGAACUUAA
rnacentral:misc_RNA from 1 species